rnacentral:rRNA from 1 species
GAUGAACGCUAGCUACAGGCUUAACACAUGCAAGUCGAGGGGCAGCAUGGUCUUAGCUUGCUAAGACUGAUGGCGACCGGCGCACGGGUGAGUAACACGUAUCCAACCUGCCGUCUACUCUUGGACAGCCUUCUGAAAGGAAGAUUAAUACAAGAUGGCAUCAUGAGUCCGCAUGUUCACAUGAUUAAAGGUAUUCCGGUAGACGAUGGGGAUGCGUUCCAUUAGAUAGUAGGCGGGUAACGGCCCACCUAGUCUUCGAUGGAUAGGGGUUCUGAGAGGAAGGUCCCCACAUUGGAACUGAGACACGGUCCAAACUCCUACGGGAGGCAGCAGU